rnacentral:piRNA from 1 species
UAGGUUACCCUGUUUGUGAAUGUGAUGUC